CCUACGGGGGGCUGCAGUGGGGAAUAUUGGACAAUGGGGGGAACCCUGAUCCAGCCAUGCCGCGUGUGUGAAGAAGGCCCUCGGGUUGUAAAGCACUUUCAGUGAGGAAGAACGCCUGGUGGUUAAUACCCAUCAGGAAAGACAUCACUCACAGAAGAAGCACCGGCUAACUCCGUUCCAGCAGCCGCGGUAAUACGGAGGGUGCGAGCGUUAAUCGGAAUUACUGGGCGUAAAGCGCGCGUAGGUGGCUUGAUAAGCCGGUUGUGAAAGCCCCGGGCUCAACCUGGGAACGGCAUCCGGAACUGUCAAGCUAGAGUGCAGGAGAGGAAGGUAGAAUUCCCGGUGUAGCGGUGAAAUGCGUAGAGAUCGGGAGGAAUACCAGUGGCGAAGGCGGCCUUCUGGACUGACACUGACACUGAGGUGCGAAAGCGUGGGUAGCAAACAGGAUUAGAUACCCUAGUAGUC
rnacentral:rRNA from 1 species